UGAGUAACCUGCCCUUAACUCUGGGAUAAGCCUGGGAAACUGGGUCUAAUACCGGAUAUGACUCCUCAUCGCAUGGUGGGAGGUGGAAAGCUUUAUUGUGGUUUUGGAUGGACUCGCGGCCUAUCAGCUUGUUGGUGAGGUAAUGGCUUACCAAGGCGACGACGGGUAGCCGGCCUGAGAGGGUGACCGGCCACACUGGGACUGAGACACGGCCCAAACUCCUACAGGAGGCAG
rnacentral:rRNA from 1 species